rnacentral:rRNA from 1 species
GACGAACGCUGGCGGCGUGCUUAACACAUGCAAGUCGAACGGUAAGGCCCUUUCGGGGGUCCCCGAGUGGCGAACGGGUGAGUAACACGUGGGUGAUCUGCCCUGCACUUUGGGAUAAGCCUGGGAAACUGGGUCUAAUACCGGAUAGGACUACGCGAUGCAUGUCGUGUGGUGGAAAGCUUUUGCGGUGUGGGAUGGGCCCGCGGCCUAUCAGCUUGUUGGUGGGGUGAUGGCCUACCAAGGCGACGACGGGUAGCCGGCCUGAGAGGGUGUCCGGCCACACUGGGACUGAGAUACGGCCCAGACUCCUACGGGAGGCAGCAGUGGGGAAUAUUGCACAAUGGGCGCAAGCCUGAUGCAGCGACGCCGCGUGGGGGAUGACGGCCUUCGGGUUGUAAACCCCUUUCAGCACAGACGAAGCGUAAGUGACGGUAUGUGCAGAAGAAGCACCGGCCAACUACGUG